UAGGGAAUGCUUUCUGUCAAUGAGGGUCUUCACAAAGAUAGAAGUGCAGGGAUGUGUGUGUCUGAAAUAAUUCUGAAAAAUUUAAAAACAUCACCUCCUUCCUGUUUUCAGGCGAUGACGAGCUGUCCAGCCCCUCCCAAGAUGCAUCUGGGUUGGAGGAAGUGAUGGAACAGCUCAAUAAUUCUUUUCCUCAUAGCCAGGCAGGGAGAAGGGGACGCCCAUGACAGGUCCCCGUAUUGGCCGUUUGUUCCACAUGGCCGAUGAUCUGGGCCGUGCCAUGGAGUCACUGGUCAGCGUGAUGACAGACGAGCAG